UACGAAGGGGGCUAGCGUUGUUCGGAAUCACUGGGCAUAAAGCGCACGUAGGCGGACUUUUAAGUCAGGGGUGAAAGCCUGAGGCUCAACCUCAGAACUGCCCUUGAUACUGGGAGUCUUGAGUAUGGUAGAGGUUGGUGGAACAGCAAGUGUAGAGGUGAAAUUCGUAGAUAUUUGCUAGAACACCAGUGGCGAAGGCGGCCAACUGGACCAUAACUGACGCUGAGGUGCGAAAGCGUGGGGAGCAAACAGG
rnacentral:rRNA from 1 species